rnacentral:rRNA from 1 species
ACCAGCACCCCGAGUGGUCGGGACGAUUAUUGGGCCUAAAGCAUCCGUAGCCGGUCAUGCAAGUCUUCCGUUAAAUCCACCCGCUCAACGGUUGGGCUGCGGAGGAUACUACGUGGCUAGGAGGCGGGAGAGGCAAGCGGUACUCAGUGGGUAGGGGUAAAAUCCUUUGAUCCAUUGAAGACCACCAGUGGCGAAGGCGGCUUGCCAGAACGCGCUCGACGGUGAGGGAUGAAAGCUGGGGGAGCAAACCGGA